rnacentral:rRNA from 1 species
GACAGAGGCCUCGAGCGUUAGGCGGAAUCACUGGGCUUAAAGCGUGUGUAGGCGGAUCGUUAAGUACCUUGUGAAAUCCCACGGCUCAACCGUGGAACUGCUUGGUAUACUGCUUUUCUUGAGCCACUUAGGGGCAACCGGAACAAACGGUGGAGCGGUGAAAUGCGUAGAUAUCGUUUGGAACGCCAAAUGGUGAAAACAGGUUGCUGGGAGUGUGCU